rnacentral:misc_RNA from 1 species
UAUCCGUAGGUGAACCUGCGGAGGGAUCAUUACGGAGUUUUUGCCCGCAAGGGUAGAUCUCCCACCCUAUGUUAUUCCUUCUCUGUUGCUUUGGCGGGCCGUCCGGCCUCGGUCAGGCCACCGGCUCCGGCUGGUGCGCGCCCGCCAGAGGACCCCAAACCCUAAAUGUCAGUGUCGUCUGAGUACUAUAUAAUAGUUAAAACUUUCAACAACGGAUCUCUUGGUUCUG